GAUUAACGCUGGCGGCGUGCAUAACACAUGCAAGUCGAACGAUGAAACUUAGUAGACUUCUUCGGAAAGACACUAAGCGGCUUAGUGGCGAACGGGUGAGUAACGCGUGAGUAACCUGCCUUACACAAGGGGAUAGCCUUUGGAAACGAAGAAUAAUACCCUAUAAAACCAUAAAAGCACAUGCUAGAAUGGUCAAAGUGAUAGCGGUGUAAGAUGGACUUGCGCCUGAUUAGCUAGUUGGUGAGAUAAAAGCUCACCAAGGCAACGAUCAGUAGCCGGCUUGAGAGAGUGUACGGCCACAUUGGGACUGAGACACGGCCCAGACUCCUACGGGAGGCAGCAGUGGGGAAUUUUGCACAAUGGGGGAAACCCUGAUGCAGCGACGCCGCGUGAUUUAGAAGGCCUUCGGGUUGUAAAAAUCUUUUGUAUAGGAAGAAAAUGACAGUACUAUACGAAUAAGGUCCGGCUAAUUACGUG
rnacentral:rRNA from 1 species